GACCAGAAUACUCACCACUAAACUAUCGCGCCCCAUGGUUGCUAACAAUUAUAAAGACCGGCUGGGAGCUGCAGUCCAUUAGCCCCCUGCUCUGAUCUUCUCCUCUGCCCCUCUGCUUCCUGCGGAGCGCCUGUGCGGGGUACUUACAGGCCAGCGGCUUGGCGGUCUAGGGGGCGGAGGCGCCUAUUGGUCUAUGCUGGUUUCCACGCUUCCCGGCCGCCUGUAAGUAGAGAGGGCAGCAGAGGUGGCUAGUGCUGAGCCUGAGAUUUCUCGAGUUAGCUGAAUGAUGAGGGCCGCUGCUGAGAAGGCCGUGGGCCCACCUUACUCUUGUAGAUGUUGUUUUUCCCCAGGGUACGUGAUAGACUAGACCUCCAUCACGGUCCUCACAGCUGAGGCUGGAGCAUCUCCGGAGUGGGUAAACCCCAUGGGGUCUUUUCAAAAAGCUGGGAGCAAAGCAGCGUCCAUAGAAGUAAAACUUCGGAGACCAAAACCAUCAUCACCAGUCCUCGGAUUCCUUACCACACGGCUUUGUUUCUGUGAUUUAUUUUGCUUUUUCCAUAUUCUGUGUACAUUAAUUUGGUUCUGGAAUUUUCUGACUGAGAAUUAUGCUGCUUUACGAAUUUCUUUAGCCAGUGAUGUGUUUCUGAGAGGUAGAAUAGCUACCCUAUAAUAGUGCCUCUGUGUUUUAUUAAUACCCUUUUUGUUUUCUCUUCUUUGGGGACUUAUUGUCUGUAGCUUUUACUAUUUUAGGGUUCAAUUCAAUUUUAUUACUUUAGGGUUUGCGACAUAUGUCUUUGUCCCAUAUAACACUGGGACAGUCAGGUGGAGAAAGCCAUUAACAGAGAGGCAAGUCGAUUUGUGUGGAGUUUGAGUCCAGCCUGGUCUAUAUAGUUAGUUUCAGGUGAUAAUCUUCCGUUUCUGGCGUCUACGCUACUGUUAAGUAUUUUGCUCCUUCCCUUGGUGUGGAUCCCACACUACAGGUUAUUACUUUUGUCUAAAGGUUCAAAUAUUUCUAAAAGGCAUGUCAAUAUCAACAUGUGAUAUCCUCACCAUAUCUGGUAUUCUUCCCAAUGUGCCUGCUGGACUCCCUCUUACAUUUGUGUGUGGGGUGGUAUCCGGUGGUUAGGAUUUUGUUUGGAAGUGGAUUUUCUGCAGCUCUGGCUGUCCUGGAACUCCCUAUGUAAACCAGAUUGGCCUAGAACUCCUAGAGAUCUGCUUCCCAGAUGCAAGAAAUCAAUGAGUGGGCCACUGCUCCUGGCUGGUUAUGAUUCUCAAGGUAUUUAUAGGUCAGGUCUUGAUGUACUCUUGUUUUACUGUUUUGUUGUUGUUGUUGUUGUUGCUGCUGCUGCUUCUGCAUGUAUGUGUUAAAAAAUGCCUUUGCAGUCCAGGCUGCUAGGGUGUGAUGGCUACUCUUAGUUGUCAACUUGAUUACAUCUGGAAUUUGCUAAAACCCAAAUGGCCGGGCACACGUGUGAGAUUUUUUUUUCUUAGUUAAAUCAUUUGAAGUAGGAAGACCCACUUGGAAUCUGGACCUCUGAGGUGGGAAGAUCCACUUUUAAGCCAGAUCUUCUGAGGUGGGAAGUGCAUCUCUAAUCUGGGCCACACCUUCUGCUGGCAAGCUAUUUAAGGGCCAUGGAAGAAGGGUGCUUGCUUUCUCUGCAUGCUUGCUCUCACUCUUGAGAACAAGUCUACUCCUUCACUGGCAUUAAAGACGACUCUUUCAGAUGCUGGCAUCCACUGCAGACCAGCUGAGAUGUGCAGCCGUGUGGACUGAACAACAACUGAUUUCCGGACCUUCUAUUGGUAGACAGACAGCCGGUGUUGGACUAGCAGGACCACAGCCUGUAAAUGAGGGAGGUAGGGAAGGGAACUGCUCGAAGAGGUAAGAAUGAAAACCCGGGGCAGAGUAACUUAAUCUCCUUGGAUCAGACUUCAGGAGUCUAAUACAGGGGGGUUCAUUGUCAGUAGAUUUAAAACACAGCACAAUUUGGGAAGAGGUUUUGAGGCAGCAACCAGUCCUAUCAGUCCGAAUCCAGGUGCACAGUAAAGCUUAAGGUGUGCCCACGCAGAGAUUCCUUUACAACGUACACGUGGCCAUGAGGGUGGGCUUUAUAGCUAAAAGGCCUAGAAUCUAAUGUGUUCUCUGAGCAGUAGCACAGAGGUCGGCAGGCCAGAAAGUGCAUGUCACAUCUCCCCUACAGAUGGGUAAUGGUCUAGGGAGGCCCGAGUCUGGAAUAAUCAUUCUGGGAGUUAGGGUGAGGUCUGUCCCUACAGAUAGCAGAAAAGGUCACCAGGUGGUUAAUAGCCUCUACUCUCAGCUUUCUGGAUGGAAUGCAGAUUUUUAUUUUAUCUCCUCCAUUGAGGACACACCUGUGAAAGAUUAACAUUCCUGCUUCUCUUAGGGAUUCUCUGAGUACAAGAUCCUCAUGCCCUCUCCAUGUAAAACCGUUAUAAUAUAUAUAAAAAUAUAUAUUCUAUAUAUUCAUAUUCAUUCUCUAGGUUGUGUGCUUAAUACAGUGGGGCAUGGCCUUGAACUUUUGACGCUCCUGGUUUAGCCUCCCCUGUGUUGAGAUUACGUGCAUGGGCCAUGAAGCCCAGUUCAGUUAACUUUAAGAGGAUUUGUAUGGCACAGAAUUUGCAGUUAACGUUUAGUUUUCUUGUUUCAUCACUUUAAAGAUUCGGUGUGGCUAUCUCCUGGCUUGCAUGGCUUCUGGUAGAAUCCUGGAACUGCAGAAAAACCUUCACACCAUCCUCCUUUUUGUUCCUGUGUAUAUACACUGUGUUUUUCUUGGGCAACUUUUGAAAUGUUUCUCUUGGCCUAGGAUUUAAUUAAAAUGUGUCUGAGCUAAUUUG
rnacentral:lncRNA from 1 species